AAUUUUGGACAAUGGGGGAAACCCUGAUCCCGCCAUCCCGCGUGUAUUAUGUUGGACUCCGGGUUGUAAAGUAUUUUUGACAAAGAAGAGAAGUUACAUCCUACGACGAGGUACUGCUGUACGCAUCUGCAGAAUAUGCACAGGCACACUCAUUGCCAGCAUCCGCGGUAAUACGUAGGGUGCAAGCGUUCAUCGGAAUUACUGGGCGUAAAGCGUGUGGAGGCGGUGCGGAAAGAAAGAUGUGAAAUCCCAGGGCUCAACCUUGGAACUGCGUUUGAAACUGCCCAGCUAGAGUAUGUCAGAGGAGGGUAGAAUUCCACGUGUAGCAGUGAAAUGCAUAGAUAUGUGGAGGAAUCCCGAUGGCGAAGGCAGCCCCCUGGGAUAAUACUGACGCUCAGACACGAAAGCGUGGGGAGCAAACAG
rnacentral:rRNA from 1 species